rnacentral:lncRNA from 1 species
CAGCAUGGAAGGACCACCUCGCCCCUCCCGGGCUGCCCACAUUACUCGCUCCAGCUCCCGUCUCUCAUCCAAGGCCCUUUCCACUUGGGCCUGCAGGUACUCCAGGGACUCCGGAAGAGGUUCCGGAGUCAACAUUGUCGACGCUGCUUCGUUCCUGUACGAGACCACUUUGAAGACGAAAGCCGUCAUCACCCUGCCGCCUGGAUACAUGUCCAUUUAUUACCACAAACAUACUUAUCAGCAGACAUGCAUACGUAUAUAACACAAAAAGGGUGGCAAAUAAUAAACAUGCAUAUCUCCAAAACCCCGAAGCAAAACAUACACACACAAAAAAAAACACACAUACACACAAACACACUAAAAAAGUGAAAAGAAAGAGAUCUACUUACUGUCGGACAUGUGGCAAUCCGUCACUGUCGCCACGAGCUUAAGGCCCCAGAAGCCCAGCAGCUCCAUCUCGGCCAAGGGAUUGGGCAUGCUGUACUGCACCACGGUUAUGGCCUGGUGUUGUGUAUAAUAAAUAUUUCGUGCGUGGGUGUGGGCGGAUGAUUGGUUUUGGUGGGUGAUGGGGUGUGGCAUAUAAUAUAAUAAUAAGAUAUGUUAUCAUAUUUCUUCCCACUUUGUAAAAUAAAAUUAAAAAACACGGAAGGUCUUCCCUGCUGUGCAUGCUCUGCCGUUGUCGACUACACAGCUACUACUGUCAUUAUUGUUAUCAUCAUUAUUAUUUAAUUCUACUACUCGUGCCACGAUAGCUACAAUAAACACCCCCCUCCCCCCCCGCUGCUUUUCUUAUCUUUUCCUGCCGUCUGUCACCCUUAUUACUAUUAAUAAUAAUAUUUUUUAAUAUUAUCAUCGUCACAUUUAUUAUUAUUAUUAUUAUUAUUAUUAUUUAUUAAUUUUUUUAUUGUAUCUCAUCCCUGUUAUAUAAUUUUACGAUACAUACAAGCGUGUGUACAGUACAUGUUUUCAUGUCAACAUAAUAUUUUACAUACCUUCCGGNNNNNNNNNNNNNNNNNNNNNNNNNNNNNNNNNNNNNNNNNNNNNNNNNNAAGCAGCGGCGGAGGCAGAGGCAGCAGCGACAGCGGUGGCGACAGCGGCAGCGGCUACAGAGGUGGUGGUGACAGUGGCUUUGUGGCAACGGUGGCUGCAGCGACAGCAGCUGCGGCAGGAGAGGCAGCAGCGGCGGUGGCGACGGUGGCGACGGUGGCGGCGGCGGUGGAAGCAGCGGUGGUGGCGACAGCGACAGCGGCAGCGGCAGCGGCAGCGGCGGUGGUGACGGCGGCGGCGACAGCGGCGGCGGUGGCGGCGGUGACGACGGUGGCGACAGUGGCGGCGGCGACAAAGCAGCGGCGGCAGCAGAGGCAGCAGCGACAGCGGUGCCGACAGCGGCAGCAGCUACAGAGGUGGUGGUGUCAGUGGCGGCGGCGACAAAGCAGCGGCGGAGGCAGAGGCAGCAGCGACAGUGGUGGCGACGGUGGCGACAGCGGCAGCGGCUACAGAGGUGGUGGUGAUAGUGGCUUUGCGGCGACGGUGGCUGCAGCGACAGCAGCUGCGGCAGGAGAGGCAGCAGCGGCGGUGGUGACGGUGGCGACGGUGGCGGCGGCGGUGGAAGCAGCGGGUAGUGGCGACAGCGACAGCGGCAGCGGUGGUGGUGACGGCGGCGGCGACAGCGGCGGCGGUGGCGGCGGUGGCGGCGGUAACGACGGUGGCGACAGUGGCGGCGGCGACAAAGCAGCGGCGGCGGCAGAGGCAGCAGCGACAGCGGUGCCGACAGAGGGGUGGCAACAGCGGCAGCAGCUACAGAGGUGGUGGUGUCAGUGGCAGCGGCGACAGUGGCUGCAGCGACAGCAGCUGCGGCAGCAGCGGCGGCGGCGGUGGCGGCGGUGGCGACGGUGGCGGCGGCGGUGGAAGCAGCGGUGGCGACAGCGGUGGUGACAGUGGCGGUGGCAGCGGUGGCGGCAGCGACAGCGGCCGCGGCGGCGGCAACAGCACGACAGUGGCGACACAUAGCGACACGGCAGCCCCUUUUCUCCUACUAUAUUAUACCCAUAUGCAUGCCUGAUCCCUCUCCCUCUCUCCUCCUCCUCUCACCUCGAGGGCGCGCUUCACCUCCAGCUCUGCCGCCUCUCCCAUGGUGCUCAACUCGAUGGUCUCCAGCUGCUUGCAGGACAGCAUGGAAGGACCACCUCGCCCCUCCCGGGCUGCCCACAUUACUCGCUCCAGCUCCCGUCUCUCAUCCAAGGCCCUUUCCACUUGGGCCUGCAGGUACUCCAGGGACUCCGGAAGAGGUUCCGGAGUCAACAUUGUCGACGCUGCUUCGUUCCUGUACGAGACCACUUUGAAGACGAAAGCCGUCAUCACCCUGCCGCCUGGAUACAUGUCCAUUUAUUACCACAAACAUACUUAUCAGCAGACAUGCAUACGUAUAUAACACAAAAAGGGUGGCAAAUAAUAAACAUGCAUAUCUCCAAAACCCCGAAGCAAAACAUACACACACAAAAAAAAACACACAUACACACAAACACACUAAAAAAGUGAAAAGAAAGAGAUCUACUUACUGUCGGACAUGUGGCAAUCCGUCACUGUCGCCACGAGCUUAAGGCCCCAGAAGCCCAGCAGCUCCAUCUCGGCCAAGGGAUUGGGCAUGCUGUACUGCACCACGGUUAUGGCCUGGUGUUGUGUAUAAUAAAUAUUUCGUGCGUGGGUGUGGGCGGAUGAUUGGUUUUGGUGGGUGAUGGGGUGUGGCAUAUAAUAUAAUAAUAAGAUAUGUUAUCAUAUUUCUUCCCACUUUGUAAAAUAAAAUUAAAAAACACGGAAGGUCUUCCCUGCUGUGCAUGCUCUGCCGUUGUCGACUACACAGCUACUACUGUCAUUAUUGUUAUCAUCAUUAUUAUUUAAUUCUACUACUCGUGCCACGAUAGCUACAAUAAACACCCCCCUCCCCCCCCGCUGCUUUUCUUAUCUUUUCCUGCCGUCUGUCACCCUUAUUACUAUUAAUAAUAAUAUUUUUUAAUAUUAUCAUCGUCACAUUUAUUAUUAUUAUUAUUAUUAUUAUUUAUUAAUUUUUUUAUUGUAUCUCAUCCCUGUUAUAUAAUUUUACGAUACAUACAAGCGUGUGUACAGUACAUGUUUUCAUGUCAACAUAAUNNNNNNNNNNNNNNNNNNNNNNNNNNNNNNNNNNNNNNNNNNNNNNNNNNUCACCUCGAGGGCGCGCUUCACCUCCAGCUCUGCCGCCUCUCCCAUGGUGCUCAACUCGAUGGUCUCCAGCUGCUUGCAGGACAGCAUGGAAGGACCACCUCGCCCCUCCCGGGCUGCCCACAUUACUCGCUCCAGCUCCCGUCUCUCAUCCAAGGCCCUUUCCACUUGGGCCUGCAGGUACUCCAGGGACUCCGGAAGAGGUUCCGGAGUCAACAUUGUCGACGCUGCUUCGUUCCUGUACGAGACCACUUUGAAGACGAAAGCCGUCAUCACCCUGCCGCCUGGAUACAUGUCCAUUUAUUACCACAAACAUACUUAUCAGCAGACAUGCAUACGUAUAUAACACAAAAGGGGUGGCAAAUAAUAAACAUGCAUAUCUCCAAAAAACCCCGAAGCAAAACAUACACACACAAAAAAAAAAACACACACACAAACACACUAAAAAAGUGAAAAGAAAGAGAUCUACUUACUGUCGGACAUGUGGCAAUCCGUCACUGUCGCCACGAGCUUAAGGCCCCAGAAGCCCAGCAGCUCCAUCUCGGCCAAGGGAUUGGGCAUGCUGUACUGCACCACGGUUAUGGCCUGGUGUUGUGUAUAAUAUUUCGUGCGUGGGUGUGGGCGGAUGAUUGGUUUUGGUGGGUGAUGGGGUGUGGCAUAUAAUAUAAUAAUAAGAAAUGUUAUCAUAUUUCUUCCCACUUUGUAAAAUAAAAUUAACAAAAACACGGAAGGUCUUCCCUGCUGUGCAUGCUCUGCCGUUGUCGACUACACAGCUACUACUGUCAUUAUUGUUAUCAUCAUUAUUAUUUAAUUCUACUACUCGUGCCACGAUAGCUACAAUAAACACCCCCCUCCCCCCCCGCUGCUUUUCUUAUCUUUUCCUGCCGUCUGUCACCCUUAUUACUAUUAAUAAUAAUAUUUUUUAAUAUUAUCAUCGUCACAUUUUAUUAUUAUUAUUAUUAUUAUUUAUUUAUUUUUUUAUUGUAUCUCAUCCCUGUUAUAUAAUUUUACGAUA